GACGAACGCUGGCGGCGUGCCUAACACAUGCAAGUCGAACGGAAGUAAGUGCUUCGGUAUUUACUUUAGUGGCGAACGGGUGAGUAACGCGUGAGGAACCUGCCUUUCAGUGGGGGACAACAGUUGGAAACGACUGCUAAUACCGCAUAACGUGUCGAGGAGGCAUCUCCUUGACACCAAAGAUUUAUCGCUGAAAGAUGGGCUCGCGUCUGAUUAGCUAGUUGGUGGGGUAACGGCCUACCAAGGCGACGAUCAGUAGCCGGACUGAGAGGUUGAACGGCCACAUUGGGACUGAGAUACGGCCCAG
rnacentral:rRNA from 1 species